AUAAAAUGGAAAAAGGAAACUUACCAUUUUGUGUUGGUGAGGCUUUAUGAGAGAAUAAUGAUAAAGGGGAAAGGAAAGAGGAGAAGAGCCAUUUGCUCUUGUGGCUGCCGUGACCUAGAGAGAGAGAGAGAGAGAGAGAGUGGCAUGUAGAGAGAGAGAGAGAGAGGAAGAAAGAAAGAAAGAAAGAAAGAAGGAGAAGGUGAAGAGGAACCCAUCUUAGAGCUUGAACAAGGGUGUGGAGUUUGGGUAUUGAUCUUAUUGUGUUCUUGAUUUUACAAUCAAGAGAGGUAGCAAAUAGGAUUUCUUUAUGGCACGCGUGGUGACGUGAGGAGUUCUUUCAUCAUGGGGUGUAUGGCGUGGGGUAAUCCUAUGGACGAAAAAACGAUCAACGUAGAACGCCAUUUUAAAUUAUGUUUUGUUUUUAAGAGACUUUCCUAAACUAUCAGUGGGACUCAGUUAUUUAAUUUUUUGGUUUCUUUGAACUUUGCAUAAAAACCUAUGUUUUAUUUUAAAACUUGUGGCGCCAACUUGCAUGGUUUUAAAUAAGUCCCCCUGAGACUUUGAUAAUGAAUGUUAUUCUUUUAUAAACUAUGUUAUGCGAAUGUUUUGUAAGUAUUAGUUUAGGGCGUUCUUUACACUUAUUUAAAAUAUAUUUUUAAUUAUUAAAUUAUAUCAUUAAUUAAUAAAACGUGAGAGAAUUUUGGUCAUACUUAAAAUUAGUUUG